GAUGAACGCUAGCUACAGGCUUAACACAUGCCAGUCGCGGGGCAGCAUGGGGGUUGCUUGCAAUCCCCGAUGGCGACCGGCGCACGGGUGAGUAACGCGUAUCCAACCUGCCCUUCACCACGGGAUAACCCGGCGAAAGUCGGACUAAUACCGUAUGUUGUCCAUUGACGGCAUCCGAUUUGGACGAAAGGUUUGGCGGUGAAGGAUGGGGAUGCGUCCGAUUAGCUGGACGGCGGGGUGACGGCCCACCGUGGCGACGAUCGGUAGGGGUUCUGAGAGGAAGGUCCCCCACACUGGAACUGAGACACGGUCCAGACUCCUACGGGAGGCAGCAGUGAGGAAUAUUGGUCAAUGGGCGUAAGCCUGAACCAGCCAAGUAGCGUGCAGGAUGACGGCCCUAUGGGUUGUAAACUGCUUUUAUGCGGGGAUAAAGUGGCCCACGUGUGGGUUUUUGCAGGUACCGCAUGAAUAAAGACCGGCUAAUUCCGUG
rnacentral:rRNA from 1 species